UACGUAGGUGGCAAGCGUUGUCCGGAAUUAUUGGGCGUAAAGCGCGCGCAGGCGGUCUCUUAAGUCUGAUGUGAAAGCCCCCGGCUCAACCGGGGAGGGUCAUUGGAAACUGGGAGACUUGGGUGCAGAAGAGGAGAGUGGAAUUCCAUGUGUAGCGGUGAAAUGCGUAGAUAUAUGGAGGAACACCAGUGGCGAAGGCGGCUCUCUGGUCUGUAACUGACGUUGAGGUGCGAAAGCGUGGGGAGCGAACGGG
rnacentral:misc_RNA from 1 species